GCUGUGUGUGUGACUGUAUGUAUGACUGUAAAGCGCUUUGUGCCUUGAAGGAGGUAGAAAAGCGCUACAUAAGUAUACGCCAUUUACCAUUUACGGACAGAACUGGGCAUUGGCGGGAGGGGUUAGAGGUUGGAUGUCAGAGCGUGCACAAACAGGAGGUGGAGCUUAAGGUGCAGGCAGAGCGUGCACAAACAGGAGGUGGAGCUUAAGGUGCAGGCAGAGCGUGCACAAUCAGGAGGCGGAGCUUAAGGUGCAAGGUGAGGUCAGGCAAACAGCAGAGCUGUCUGCAGACCUCCAGGCGCUCACCAGCCUUCUUUCAUCACGCCGCUCUCAUUGUGCUCCUGUCUAUUCACAGAAACUGACACUUUAUAAACCAGCAGCACUAACAGGAGGGUUAGCUGUAAAGUAUUUGUCCUGAAACAUUUGGAUCAAACAGACUCUAUUUAAAAUCAGUCCGAUUAAAACAAAAUGCAGUUUUUCCUUCCUGUGAAUCGGUAAAUGUAAUCACCAAUAAUUAUGCACAUAGGAAAUGGAACUUUAGUGUCACGCAUCACGCCGUAUCCCACUGUGAUCGCCUCAUCUUCACCGAGUUCCUUCAUAUCUACUGACACCAAAAGCUGCUGAACCAAAGGAACCCUAAGAAAACACAAAGUCAUUGAGAUGAAAGUCGAAUGAGACCAUCGUCCACACAUGGAGACAGCUGAAAAACAGGGUAGAACCUUUUCAGGAGCAACAGACUCACUCCAAGAAUUCAUCCAGGAGGUCCCCACAGAGGAAGAUGGAAAGCAGGUCAGGUCAGAGAUGAUGAUCCAACAAUCAGGAAGAAACGUCUGGACAAACAUGGAUCCGUGGAGAGUUCAAAGACACAUUGGAGCAACAAGAACCCAGAGGAGCGUCUGGAUGAUCCACUACACCUCAGGACCGAUGUUCUGAUGAGACUCUAGAGGAACAUUUUGGAGGAAAAACGUCUCAUUUGACACACCUGGACUUAAAUAACUUUUAAAGUAACAGUCAGACAUGUCGGUGGAAGUGUGAUGGUGUGGGCUGCUUUCUAGCCUCUGGAGCUGUGACUUAUCGUUUCUGUAAUUUCUAGUUUCUAUCAGUUCAGCAAAUUAAUCUGUAAAAUCCAAAAAUGAGAAGAAUGCUGAACGUUUCUUAAAAGACUUCACUGCCAAAAGUGAAACAAUCAGAACAAAUUUCAAGGACAGAGACGGCUUCACACAAUUAUUCAAACAAAGGUUUGGACACCUUUAUUUUUUUCCUGUUCUGAAAAAAAAAAUAUUGCAAUUUUAAGAACUGCUUUUUGUUCAAGGGUUUUUCCAACCAUGAAAGUUUAUUAAACAUAGGAGGAGGAAAUUCCUGUUUGCUGAACCUUAGGCUUUAUUUAUUUUCUAGUUUGUAAUUUUUACCAAAUUAAAUGGUCAAAGAACAAGAAAAAGCAGGAAAUCUAACCCAGUUUGCAGCUUUACAAAAACCUUAAAUAUUCUCAGUUCAAUCAGGUAUUUGCCCCCUUAUUGUUGAGAAAUGCAGUUAGGUGUUGAAACAACAUCAGAGGUUUCAUUUAUUUCAAAUAUUUAGGAAAAUGCAGAUUUUCAGGACAACUUUGGCUGGAGCUUUAAUGUUCAACAAACAUCAGUUUCCAAAGGAUUCUAGUUAAAGUCUGAAGAUUUGUCACGGCCAAAAAAAAACAGGAAA